ACAUUUUGACUCAAAUUGAAAGGAUAGUUCAACUUCAACUAUCACAGUGUACUUGCAAAAAAAUAAUGAAUGGAGGAAUCUUGCACACUUGAGAGCAGUUAAAAAAACAUUCUGAUACAGUUUAAACCUUUCCUUGACUGGCUCUCGGUGGCCCUCUUUGUUUCCUGUACCUGUGGUAGGUGGACUUGUACACGCAGAAAAAAAGGAACUUGCAUUCACAUCCUUCUUUCGGUAACUGACAGGAAACAAUGAACAAGAGAACAGCUCUAACAAUUCUAUGCUGUUCCAUGUUCUGUGAGGCUUUUGGAGCAGGUCAAAAUGAGAUUCUAGUGGAACCAGGGGACACAGUCACCCUUGGCUGUGACAUUACCCUGGAGUAUGAGGUCAUGUGGUUUGUUCUUCGUCCUGAUGCCACUCUUUCAGUAGCCAUCACUAUAAAGACAAAUACACCCCUGAGCCUCAACAAAAAGUUUGAUGGCCGUUUCAAGUCAGUGUAUGACACAGGCCUGUUCCGAAGCAAUCUGAGCAUACUGAACAUCUCAGAGAGUGACGUGGGUCUGUACUACUGUGUUGAGCAGAGGACUAACAUAUUUGAGAUCGGAAGUGGGACCAAGCUCUCCCUUAUCAGUGGUGAUCAGCUCUCUACUACUGUUGUUGGGAUGAAGUUGUCAUGGUUUAUCACCUUGAUCAUAGCCCCCAUGUUCUCUGUGCUGGGGUCUGCUCUCUGUGUCUUCUGCUGUUGACGACCUGCUAAGAAAUUAUUUGCACCCAAUAAUUCUCAUUUUCACAUUGAAUCAGCUUUCUGAAAUGUAUUUUUUUAAUACUUAUGUGGUGCAACUCACUGUCUGUAAAUCGGGUAUUGGUGUUUAUUGCGCAUUUCAUGAAGAUAAAAAAAAUAGCUGUCCUCUUACACUGUAGAUCCUGACAAAAUGAGGAUUCUGGAACAAUUUGGUUGAAGCCUGUCAUCGAGAGGACCAAGAGUGAGUAUAGGAGGACAAACAGGAAUAAAAUGUAAAAAUGCUGAGAGUAAAAGUAACAUUUCUGGUGUUUUAUGAAGUCUCCUGUGACACACGGGGUUAAACUUCUGCCACUCCAUACAUCCAAGUAGGUGGACGAUGGGAUCUACAUGUGUCCAGAUUGGUUUCACAUCUUUUUAUUUAUUGUGUUAUUCCAGUGUUGAUUGCAUGACCAGUAUGUUCAGGGUGUUAGAGAUAGAAAUUUAUUGAACAAGAUCAUUUUAGACAUCUGAUCUUAAAUCAUUUACAUCAUAUCUACCAUUCCAUCCAAGGACCAAUUAUCAAAACAGAACUGGUUUAACCAUAAAUCUGCAACUGUAAAUAUAUUUUUUAAUCUGAAACACAACAACCUGCUGUAAUACUGCAUUCGGAUGUAUUCAGACCGCUUGACUUUUCCCCGCAUUGUUACGUUACAGCUUAUUCUAAAAUUGAUUAAAUUAUAUUUUUCUUCAGUC